rnacentral:lncRNA from 1 species
UGACAUGGGAUAAAACGAUUUGAUUAAUAAGUAUGGUUCGACAUUUCGACAAAAUGGAGGUUCUGUCAUUUCGACAAGAUAUUUGCAGCUAGAAAAGUACUUUUGACAGACAUGGAGAACAUUGCAGUAUAUUGAUAAUUCGACAAACAUCCUGAAGGAAGACGUCCUUUCGACUUAAAGUGUAAAUUUGAAUUUAAAAAGUUGUAACGUUUGGCAAAAGACGCGUGGAAGCAUCUGGCGAAAGGAAGAAAGCCAUGUGUCACAGUUUUAGGAUUUAGUCGUUAAUAACAGUUAUGUUAUUUGUAUAUAAAUAGGGUAGUUGUUAUCAAAAA